rnacentral:tRNA from 1 species
GCAGUAGCUCAGCGGUAGAGCCUUCGCCUGAUAUGCGAAGAGGCUCGCGUUCAACUCCCGGCUGC